rnacentral:rRNA from 1 species
GGAUCAUUACCGAGUGAGGGCCCCCGGCCCGACCUCCAACCCUUUGUUGAACUUCCGCGUUGCCUCGGGGGCGACCCGGCCGUCCGCGCCGGGACCCCCGACGGACCCAACCAAAACUCUUUGCAUGUCGUGCGUCGGAGUAUUAAAGUAAAUCAAUCAAAACUUUCAACAACGGAUCUCUUGGUUCUGGCAUCGAUGAAGAACGCAGCGAAAUGCGAUAAGUAAUGUGAAUUGCAGAAUUCAGUGAAUCAUCGAAUCUUUGAACGCACAUUGCGCCCUUUGGUAUUCCGAAGGGCAUGCCCGUUCGAGCGUCAUUUCACCAAUCAAGCCUGGCUUGGUGUUGGGCCCCGGGGAGACCCGGGCCCCAAAGUUCGCCGGCCGGACGUCCCGGAUCUCAGCGUUGUGGCAUCAAAACCUGCAGAGAGAUGGGGCGGCCGUGCCGUCACAAAACCCAUUUUCAUGAGAGGUUGACCUCGGAUCGGGUAGGGAUACCCGCUGAACUUAAGCAUAUCAAUAAGCGGAGGAAAAGAAACCAACAGGGAUUGCCCUAGUAACGGCGAGUGAAGCGGCAACAGCUCAAAUUUGAAAUCUGGCGCAAGCCCGAGUUGUAAUUUGUAGAGGAUGCUUCUGGGCAGCGGCCGGUCUAAGUUCCUUGGAACAGGACGUCAUAGAGGGUGAGAAUCCCGUAUGUGACCGGCUGGCACCCUCCACGUAGCUCCUUCGACG